ACGCUGGCGGCGUGCCUAAUACAUGCAAGUCGAACGCUGGAAAUCUAGCUUGCUAGAUUGAAGGAGUGGCGAACGGGUGAGUAAUACAUAAGCAACCUACCCACGAAGACUGGGAUAAUCUCUGGAAACGGGGACUAAUACCGGAUAGGUAAUCGGAAGGCAUCUUCUGAUUAUUAAAGGUUAAAAACACUGGUGGAUGGGCUUAUGGCGCAUUAGUUAGUUGGUGAGGUAACGGCCCACCAAGACGAUGAUGCGUAGCCGGCCUGAGAGGGUGAACGGCCACAUUGGGACUGAGACACGGCCCAGACUCCUACGGGAGGCAGCAGUAGGGAAUUUUCGGCAAUGGGGGAAACCCUGACCGAGCAACGCCGCGUGAGUGAUGACGGCCUUCGGGUUGUAAAAGCUCUUGUUUGUAAGGGAAGAACGGUAGAUAGAGAAUAUCUAAAUGACGGUACCUUACCAGAAAGCCACGGCUAACUACGUGCCAGCAGCCGCGGUAAUACGUAGGUGGCGAGCGUUAUCCGGAAUUAUUGGGCGUAAAGGGUGCGUAGGCGGCCUGUUAAGUAAGUGGUUAAAUUGUUGGGCUCAACCCAAUCCAGCCACUUAAACUGGCAGGCUAGAGUAUUGGAGAGGCAAGUGGAAUUCCAUGUGUAGCGGUAAAAUGCGUAGAUAUAUGGAGGAACACCAGUGGCGAAGGCGGCUUGCUAGCCAAAGACUGACGCUCAUGCACGAAAGCGUGGGGAGCAAAUAGGAUUAGAUACCCUAGUAGUCCACGCCGUAAACGAUGAAUACUAAGUAUUGGGGAAACUCAGUGCUGCAGCUAACGCAAUAAGUAUUCCGCCUGUGGAGUAUGCACGCAAGUGUGAAACAUAAAGGAAUUGACGGGGGCCCGCACAAGCGGUGGAGUAUG
rnacentral:rRNA from 1 species